rnacentral:rRNA from 1 species
AUCUUGAAAAUAAAAAAAGUUGGCGGUAUUUUAAUCUAUUCAGAGGAACUUGUUCUUUAAUUGAUAGUCCACGAUUUAAUUUACUUAUUUUUAUAUAUUUAUAUAUCGCCGUAGAUUGAUAAUUUUUAAAUAAUUUAAAUUUUCAAGGUUUAUUUAAUAAAUAAAUUCAGGUCAAGAUGUAAUUUAUAAAUAAGAAGGUAAUGAGUUACAAUAAAUUUAUUUAUUAUGAAUUAAUAUUUGGAAUUUAUUAUGAAGGUGGAUUUGAUUGUAAUUUUAUAAAAAUUUAUAAAAUGAUUUUAGUUCUAAAAUAUGUACAUAUUGCCCGUCGCUUUCACUUUAAAGUGAAAUAAGUCGUAACAAAGUAGGAGUACUGGAAAGUGUUCCUAGAAAGUUCAAAUUAGAGCUUAAUAAAAAGUAUUUUAGUUACAUUAAAAAGUUUAUUGUAGAAUCAGUAUAAUUUGAUUAUUGAUAAAAUUAUUUAAUUUAAUAAUUUUAUUAUUUUAAAGUAAAUUUAUAAAAGUUUUAUUAAUAAAAAUGAAUAAAUUUUUAAUUAUUAUAGAUAAUUAGUAUUGUGAAAGAAUUUUUUUUAAAUAGUAAAAAGAAUAAUUUAAGGUUUGUACCUGG